UACGUAGGGACCAAGCGUUGUUCGGAUUUACUGGGCGUAAAGGGCGCGUAGGCGGCAAUUCAAGUCAGUUGUGAAAUCUCCGAGCUUAACUCGGAACGGUCAACUGAUACUGUUUUGCUAGAGUACAGAAGGGGCAAUCGGAAUUCUUGGUGUAGCGGUGAAAUGCGUUGAUAUCAGGUGGAACACCAGUGGCGAAGGCGGCUUUCUGGACGGUAACUGACGCUGAGACGCGAAAGCGUGGGGAGCAAACAGG
rnacentral:rRNA from 1 species